ACUUUUUUUUGUCGGUACGGUAACCACCCAUUUAGACCGGUUUUUCGAUAUUUCGGUACGGUAUUUCGGUUUUGGUUUUUAAUGAACACCCCUAUUCUCAAGUGUUUUUGUUGUGUUUUUUUUUUUUUGUUUGUUUGUUUUAAAGUGAACUAACAAAGUUAUAUACUUUCACAUACUCAUCAACUAUUCAACUAAGUGAACACACACUCUCUAUUAUCUCUCCUAAACUUUAAACCCUUUUCUUGAUUGCAAUUUCAGCCCUCAAUUUUAUUCUUCCUUUGAAAUUACUUGUACACUUUCUGUCUUUUUUUGGGUUUCCAAUGUAAAUUCCCUCGCAAUAGAACUAUCUGUGUGAUCAUUCCUGCAUUUCAAUUGCUUAAUCAUUAAGCUCAAUUCUUUUUCCCAGAUAAACAAGAUUCCCCAGAAUUUGGAACUUUCCCAGUUGGAUUUUACCGGAAAACGAGAAGAAAAUGAAAUUCAAAUGUGCAAUGGUUUGUUCUUCGAAUUCGAAGAGAAGCAUGAAAGCUCGUUUCUUGUUGAAGAAACAACGCUGAUUUAUAUUACAUUACCCUAUGUACAACCGUAAUGGUAUAUUGGAAAUGCUGAAGCAGAAUGCAUCUCUGAAGCUUGCUCGUCAACGCUGGCAAGAGAGUGCACCUGAUGGUGAAUCUGAUGUUCAGAUAAGAAGAAAAGGUCUUAGAUAUGGUUAUUGAAGAACGCGGCCACUGAUAUCCUGUCCUUCGCAGCAUUUGUUACUACCCUAUGCAUCACGCUCUUGAACUCCCCGUUAGUCAUCACCUGCAAGUUACAGUAGAAGUGUACCUGAAAACAACCCCAUUCAGAAAGUGCUGAUCGGAGUUUCUCUAGUUCCGACGCCGAAGAUGAAAGGAGAGAAAAAUCAAUAAGCAAGUUGUUCCUCCACAAGUCAGGAGCUUCAAUAGCUUCAGGAAAUCCAUUUUUAUGGAGGUAACAACUUCAAGCAUGACUUGCUCCCAUCAUGUGACGAGCAGUGUGUACAAGGCGCAAGAACGAAUUCCUCACUAUAUGGCUGGAGGUGAUAACUAGGCGAUUCUAGCUUCAUGUAGACGAGUUGCAACCACCAAUCUAAACCAUCCGAAUUGAGUACCGAUUUUUGGGGUUAGCUCACCCUAGCGGGACCACGACCCUUUGUUGCCGAGCCUAUAUACAACUAAUCUUAAUUCACGUGUCAUUUUCUUGGGUGCAACUAUUUAAAAAUAGAGGAAAUAUAUCGUAAUGAAGUUUUUUAGAACUUAAAGGCUCUCAAAGCUCUAGUCAUAUGUGUUGUGCAUAUUUUUAGUAUUAUUUACAAAACAAAAUUUAAAUAUAAGUAAAAUAAUAAUAUAAUGUAGUUGAAUAUUUUAGGGUUAUCCCAAGUGUGACACGAUGUAAAGAUUUGUGUGCUCUUAUAUCACCUAAAGUUGAUGAGUGUAUCAUCCUAUCAUAGUAUCAUGUAUUCAACUCCUUGUUUCAACCUUUUAUUAUAAAAUUUUCAUCUUAAGCUCACUUAAAUACCCUUUACAAUCAUAAGAAAUAUCCCCUAAAUAUUCCCUUCUCAAUAAAUCAAAUAUUUUAAAAAAUAGAGAAGGAUCCAUACGUAAUGAUUAGCUAGAUAAAAAGAAAUAAACCCUUUAAUCAUAACUAUAUGUUGCAUUUAUUAUAAUAAUAAUAAUUUUGUAAUAUAAUUAUGAUAUCAAAUUACAAUCAACUCAAUGUAAUAAUAUAGAUUAUAUCAAAUAAAUUGAGGUUGAGAUAGUGGAGUAGUGAUAUCUCUUUUCACCUCAUAUCCCUCAUCAAACUUCAUGAGACUCAUUCGAGAAAUUUCCGUUAUCUCCCUCAAGUGGAAAAGCAGUGCGAGAAGGGAAUGCGCGUAUGAAGUGUGUUGACUUUCCCGCUUUUGGGGUAUAGAAUUUGGUAUAGAACUUUAUCUUUUUAUGGCUUUCAAGUCUAUUGUUGCUUGAAUAAUCUCUCAGCAAGACAAGGAGAGUAUCGAGAUAAUAUAGGUAAAACUGAAUUAUCAUGGCUGUGGAAUUCAAGAAAACUAUGAAUCUUUUAGGCCCUGUUUGGUACUAGCGUUUGAGGUAGCGGUUAGCGGUUGGACAAGAUUGAAACGCUACUUAAACUAAUUCAAUCGCUAAUCGCUGACAGCUACUAGUAGACAGCUAGCAGCUACCCCCAACAGCUACCGCUACUAGAACCGCUAACAGCUACUAGAACCGCUAGUUUUGCCAAACAUGCUCUUAGUCGUAUUUCCAUUAACGGUUGGGUUGUCUUCUUUUUCUUUGAAGCUCGCUGGGUUGGUUUGUCAUAUAAGUAGUUUGUGCUUUAGUGUGUAAGCCUUAAAUGUUCGUUGGUUAUUCGGUUGUUCCUUGUUUUAUGGCCAUGGAUCGAGGAUGUAUUUUAGUGGACAUAUUUUCUUCUACUUCUAUAUAUUUCUGGUCUUCUUUCUGGUUUACUGCAGUUUUUAUUAUCGAGUCAUAUGCCAUCUUUGCCUCAAUAUGCUCACUUGAUACAACAUAUGAGAAUGACCAGAAUAUAUCUAAUAUGUGCAACAUGACAUGCUAUCUUUCAUAAAACCCAAACAAAAUAGGGGGAGAAAAGUUCGGUUUUGAAGGGGUGGCUCAAGAGUUGGUCUUUCAUUGGUAAGUAUGCUUGCUUUACAAAAAUUCUUAUUCUAAAUAAUAGUUUCUCUAUCUUCAAUAAAUCUUCUAUUUUGGGUUAUAACAAAAUAAUGUUCAUCUCUCUUUACUUUUUUGUCACUCUACUUGCUUUCUCAUACCUUUUUUUUAUUUACCCACUUAACUAUUUAUGAUCUCUUUACCAACCCAAGAUAUGAAGAUUAUUGAGGGACAGAGUAUGUUAGUGCACUCCUAUUUCUCAUUUUACAAGGACAUUGUUUUUUUUUGCACACAACGAUGCUAAGGGAGUUUAUUUGGAUAACCCAUGAGCAUGGUUUUGCCUGGUGCUGUUGGAUUCAAGAUGACUGGAAAAUUGGUGGGAUGGUGUCGCAUCUACUUAGUCGGUGUUGACGUUCAAAAUUUGAAGUAUGCAUAUAUUAGAUUUUUUUACAAUUUUGGUUUUCUUAGUUAUCAUUAGAUUAUAGAAACUUUAUUUCAGGAUAUACUGGAAGAAAUUGAUGCAUUGAGAGAAAUUGUUUUGGAUAUAAAUUAAAUGUAGCAAAUAAUUUUUUUGACAUGAUGAAUAGUGCAAGUAAGAAAUUUUGUUUAAUAA